rnacentral:rRNA from 1 species
AGCGGCGGACGGGUGAGUAACACGUGGGUAACCUGCCCAAGAGACUGGGAUAACACCUGGAAACAGAUGCUAAUACCGGAUAACAACACUAGACGCAUGUCUAGAGUUUGAAAGAUGGUUCUGCUAUCACUCUUGGAUGGACCUGCGGUGCAUUAGCUAGUUGGUAAGGUAACGGCUUACCAAGGCAAUGAUGCAUAGCCGAGUUGAGAGACUGAUCGGCCACAUUGGGACUGAGACACGGCCCAAACUCCUACGGGAGGCAGCAGUAGGGAAUCUUCCACAAUGGACGAAAGUCUGAUGGAGCAACGCCGCGUGAGUGAAGUAAGGGUUUCGGCUCGUAAAGCUCUGUUGGUAGUGAAGAA